GCCGGGCGUGGUGAUGGGCGCCUGUAAUCCCAGCUACUGGGGAGGCUGAGGCAGGAGAAUUGCUUGAACCCAGGAGAUGGAGGUUGCAGUGAGCCGAUACAGUGCCACUGUACUCCAGCCUGGGCAACAGAGUGAGACUCUGUCUCAA
ensembl:misc_RNA Metazoa_SRP Metazoan signal recognition particle RNA